ensembl:lincRNA
GGUUCCGCUUCUUCCUUCAGUGGCAGGUCUCAGGGGGCUUCAGUGACUUAAGAUGUCUUGGGACGAGGGCCAGCACCUUUGCUGCUGUCCAUGCAAGGCAGCUGUAGCACAGAGGCUGUGAAAGGCAAGAGACAGCAUCAGACUCAGACUCCCGAUCUAGUGACAACCAGAGCAGAUUCCCGGAGCGGGAGUGGGAGUUGGCCAGCUCGACGGUGUGCACGGAUGGGUGUCUCGGGCAGAGGGAACGGCACGUGCAAAGGUCCAUCCUCAGGAGAGAGCUUGGUGAACUCCACGAACUGAAGAUGUGAACAAAGCUGCAGGACUGAGCCGGCAAGAAGCUGAGCACCCUCGAGUAGUUUGGUUAGCCUGACCUUCCUUCUUCGCUUCCUGGCUCCUCCAGAGCCAUGUGACCCGGGCCUGAGCGGAGUGGCGUGGAAGAUAACAAGGAACAAGACGAAAUAGUGCAGACCUUCCAGAGCGUGGAGUAUUACGUGGGCAGACAAGAGGCAAGGGCGAGCCAACUGAAGAGAGCAUUCCCGCACGAUGUAUGGGACAAUACACACCUCCAAGCGAGACCACAGGGAGCUGAUGGUCUUUUCUGGGUCUCAAUUUCCUCAUCUAUAGUAUUAUGGGCCCAUCACCCGACUGCCGAUAACUGGGAAACUCAAGCACACAAGUUUUGGGAUAGCAUGCCUGGUUGUGGAUGUGCUAGAGCCUCAGGAAUUCGUGAAAUAGGAAGCUGGUUUGUUCUACAGAACACAGGCCCUCAGACUUGAAAGGUUGUAAAAAUAGAACAAAUCACAUACUAGAUGGCACCACCUGUUGUCAACGCGUGAUACUGCAGCUUGGCAGGGCAAGGAAGAAAGGGGCGGCUCCAAGGGUGACCUCAGAAGAUCCCAGCCCCAGCUGGACAGCCGUGGAGACGAGGCCGGAGCCAGGAAUAGACGGGCUAAUGCCGCGAAAUGCCACAGAGGAAAAGCUAACUGCAGAUCCUGUUCGCAUCGGCCUUUUGCUUUGAUUUGGGGUCACGGCCAACAUCUGCUGAGUCCCUUGAGGCCUUGACACUGGAUUCUUUAUCCUCCCCUCUCCGCUUCAGAGCGCAAGAAGCUAAGGAUGAAGAGAAGGAGCCACAGUCUGGGGUAAUUAUAGCAUCGCGUGGCUUCCUCGGCUGUGUAGACAUCGUUACAGCUAAUAUUUGUUGAGCGCUUACAACAUUUGGAGCGCUGCCUGAUUUAAUCACCACCGCUCAGGGAGCGGGGCCGGUACUCUUAUCCCCGUCCCCAGCUUGCACGUGACGAAGUCAAAGCACAGGGAGCUCGAGUAACUUGUGCAAGUUCUCACACGAGUCCGUCCGCCCUUCCUUCUUUCCUUCCUCCCUUCCAUCCAACAGUCAUUUGUUGAGUGUUGAAGCUGGGAUGGGAGGCUGGGCAGACCAAACCCAGAGCCCAUGCUUUCAGCGAGUGGGCCUGACUACAUCUGUCGGCACUUUCUAACUAUGACUAAUACCUCUUGGUCCAGGUCUCUCACACUUAGAAAAUGCAGUGAUACAUGAAAAAGCAAAAAUCUUGCUGAUGCUUUAUAAUCGUGAUUCAUCUGCCCGUGUCCCCAUCCAUGUGUUCAUCUACCCAACAAUCAUUUCUCUAAUCCAUCUGUCUGCCCACCCACGCUCCCACCCAC